rnacentral:rRNA from 1 species
AACGAACGCUGGCGGCAUGCCUAACACAUGCAAGUCGAGCGAGGACUUCGGUCCUAGCGGCGGACGGGUGAGUAACGCGUGGGAACGUGCCCCUUGGUACGGAAUAGCCCCGGGAAACUGGGAGUAAUACCGUAUGAGCUCUACGGAGGAAAGAUUUAUCGCCAAGGGAUCGGCCCGCGUUGGAUUAGGUAGUUGGUGGGGUAAUGGCCUACCAAGCCGACGAUCCAUAGCUGGUUUGAGAGGAUGAUCAGCCACACUGGGACUGAGACACGGCCCAGACUCCUACGGGAGGCAGCAGUGGGGAAUCUUAGACAAUGGGCGCAAGCCUGAUCUAGCCAUGCCGCGUGAGCGAUGAAGGCCUUAGGGUUGUAAAGCUCUUUCAGCUGGGAAGAUAAUGACUGUACCAGCAGAAGAAGCCCCGGCUAACUCCGUGCCAGCCGCCGCGGUAA